rnacentral:rRNA from 1 species
AUUAGUUUUUUAAUUGAAGGCUAGAAUGAAUGGUUGGACAAGAAAUAAUCUGUCUCUGGUUAAUAUAUUGAAUUUAACUUUUAAGUGAAAAGGCUUAAAUGAUUUGAAGGGACGAUAAGACCCUAUAAAACUUUAUAUUUGGAAGUGAUGGGUAAGUUUUGUUUGCCGGUUAUUAUUUUAAAGUAUUUGGUUGGGGUGACAAGGAUAAAAAAAAGUAACUGUUCUUUAUUUUUUACAAUAAUGUUUGGUAUAAUGAUCCUAAUAUGGAUUAAAAGAUUAAGUUACUUUAGGGAUAACAGCGUAAUUUUCUUUGAGAGUUCUUAUCGAUAAGAGAGUUUGCGACCUCGAUGUUGAAUUAAAGGUUCUUUAUGGAGUAGAGACUGUAAGAGAAGGUCUGUUCGACCUUUAAAUCUUUACAUGAUUUGAGUUCA